GUGCCAGCCGCCGCGGUAAUACGUAGGUGGCAAGCGUUGUCCGGAUUUAUUGGGCGUAAAGCGAGCGCAGGCGGUUUUUUAAGUCUGAUGUGAAAGCCUUCGGCUCAACCGAAGAAGUGCAUCGGAAACUGGGAAACUUGAGUGCAGAAGAGGACAGUGGAACUCCAUGUGUAGCGGUGAAAUGCGUAGAUAUAUGGAAGAACACCAGUGGCGAAGGCGGCUGUCUGGUCUGUAACUGACGCUGAGGCUCGAAAGUAUGGGUAGCAAACAGGAUUAGAUACCCUGGUAGUCCAUACCGUAAACGAUGAAUGCUAAGUGUUGGAGGGUUUCCGCCCUUCAGUGCUGCAGCUAACGCAUUAAGCAUUCCGCCUGGGGAGUACGGCCGCAAGGCUGAAACUCAAAGGAAUUGACGGGGGCCCGCACAAGCGGUGGAGCAUGUGGUUUAAUUCGAAGCUACGCGAAGAACCUUACCAGGUCUUGACAUACUAUGCAAAUCUAAGAGAUUAGACGUUCCCUUCGGGGACAUGGAUACAGGUGGUGCAUGGUUGUCGUCAGCUCGUGUCGUGAGAUGUUGGGUUAAGUCCCGCAACGAGCGCAACCCUUAUUAUCAGUUGCCAGCACUAAGUUGGGCACUCUGGUGAGACUGCCGGUGACAAACCGGAGGAAGGUGGGGAUGACGUCAAAUCAUCAUGCCCCUUAUGACCUGGGCUACACACGUGCUACAAUGGAUGGUACAACGAGUUGCGAACUCGCGAGAGUAAGCUAAUCUCUUAAAGCCAUUCUCAGUUCGGAUUGUAGGCUGCAACUCGCCUACAUGAAGUCGGAAUCGCUAGUAAUCGCGGAUCAGCAUGCCGCGGUGAAUACGUUCCCGGGCCUUGUACACACCGCCCGU
rnacentral:rRNA from 1 species